CCGCAGCAGCAGGCUCCUCUGAGCAUCCAGAGGGAUUCAGGAAGCCACCAGAAGGAAGGAAAGUGGAUUCAAAGGACCUGCCACCGUAAUUAGCCAAAUUUUGGUUAAUUAAGGCCAACAAGGCCUCGGCCCCUCACCUCCCAGGGCUGAAAUGGGAAUGCCGUGACCUGAGACACAGAGCUGCAUCAUGGCAGGAUUUAUCUGUGGACACCACCUGCUCAGGCGCUCUCUGUGGUGGUCCAGAGGGAUUCAGGAAACCACCAGGAAGGAGAAAGUGGGUGUGAUGCUCUUGUCACUGUAAUUAACCCAGUUUUGGUUAAUUAAUGCUGCCAACACAAGGUGUGUGCUGGGUGUCACCUGCCAAGGCCUCAGCCCAUCCCACCCUUCCCGGGCCAGAGCCCUUGUCCCACAGGGAUUUAUCCAGUGGCCGUGGAUGUAAGGAGAAGCUGGAGCAGCAUGGCAGAUUCCCUGUGGAAGAAUGAGGAGGAUUCAGCCACACCAAAGUCAGGGAAUUAAACUUGAACCCAUUGUUUUUCCGUG